rnacentral:rRNA from 1 species
AUUGAACGCUGGCGGCAGGCCUAACACAUGCAAGUCGAGCGGAUGAAGGGAUCUUUCUCCUGGAUUCAGCGUCUGCCUUUUUAGUCCUGCCUAGUCAUCUGCCUGGUCUUUGUUUCUAACUUCCUUAAACGGGCGCUCCUCCCGCAUCCGUCCUGCGGGCGAAAGUGGGGGCUCUUCGGCCCUCACGCUAUCCGAUGCGCCUAGGUCGGAUUCGCUCGUUGGUGGGGUCCAGGCCUACCAAGGCGACGAUCCGUAACUGGUCUGAGAGGAUGAUCAGUCACACUGGAACUGAGACAAGGUCAAGAAUCCUACGGGAGGCAGCAGUGGGGAAUAUUGGACAAUGGGCGAAAGCCUGAUCCAGCCAUGCCGCGUGUGUGAAGAAGGUCUUCGGAUUGUAAAGCACUUUAAGUUGGGAGGAAGGGCAGGAAGUUAAUACCUUGCUGGUUUGACGUUACCAACAGAAUAAGCACCGGCUAACUUCGUG